rnacentral:rRNA from 1 species
GAACGCUGGCGGCGUGCUUUAACACAUGCAAGUCGAACGAAGCACUUAUGACAGAUUCUUCGGAUGAUGGAUUAAGUGACUGAGUGGCGGACGGGUGAGUAACGCGUGGGUAACCUGCCUCAUACAGGGGGAUAACAGUUAGAAAUGACUGCUAAUACCGCAUAAGCGCACAGGACCGCAUGGUCUGGUGUGAAAAACUCCGGUGGUAUGAGAUGGACCCGCGUCUGAUUAGCUAGUUGGUGGGGUAACGGCCUACCAAGGCGACGAUCAGUAGCCGGCCUGAGAGGGUGAACGGCCACAUUGGGACUGAGACACGGCCCAAACUCCUACGGGAGGCAGCAGUGGGGAAUAUUGCACAAUGGGGGAAACCCUGAUGCAGCGACGCCGCGUGAGUGAAGAAGUAUUUCGGUAUGUAAAGCUCUAUCAGCAGGGAAGAAAAUGACGGUACCUGACUAAGAAGCACCGGCUAAAUACGUG